rnacentral:rRNA from 1 species
CCUACGGGUGGCAGCAGUGGGGAAUAUUGCACAAUGGGGGAGACCCUGAUGCAGCGACGCCGCGUGAGUGAAGAAGGAUUUCGGUGUGUAAAGCUCUAUCAACAGGGAAGAAAAGUGAGGUACCUGGUUAAGAAGCCCCGGCUAACUACGUUCCAGCAGCCGCGGUACUACGUAGGGGGCAGGCGUUAUCCGGAUUUCCUGGGUGUAAAGGGGGCGUAGACGGCUGCACAGGUCUGGAGUGAAAUGCUGGGGCUUAACCGCGGAAUUGCAUUGGAAACUGUGCAGCUAGAGUGCAGGAGAGGUAAGUGGAAUGCCUAGUGUAGCGGUGAAAUGCGUAGAUAUUAGGAGGAACACCAGUUGCGAAGGCGGCUUACUGGACUGUAACUGACGUUGAGGCUCGAAAGUGUGGGGAGCAAACAGGAUUAGAUACCCUUGUAGUC